UCGGUCGAACCGAAAAAGGCCCAAUCUGAUCUGAAAGCCGCACAAUCUUUGUCUCGCCGUUAUGCAGUCUACCCAUCAAUCUCUUUCAACUCUAGAUUAAUUUCCAGCUUUUCUUUUCGCUCGCUGCUUCAAUUUCUAGGGUUUCUGAUUCACACAUGAUCGAGGCUUCGUCGAACAACUAAUUGUUAGUCUUUACUCUGCUUUAUUAUUAUUCGCGUAUUGAUUUUUUAGGAUCUGACCCCGUUUCAAUUUCCUCAAAGUUGGUGACUUUUUGAAUUGGGGGGAAUUGGAGAGCCUGACUUGAUUUUGGGGGUUUAGGGUUAGGGUUUUUUUUGCGGUUUUAAUUGGAUUGGGCUAAAGGGUUCCCCUAUUCAUUCCUUCCGCUGUGGUUUUCUGGCUCUUGGGUAUAUAUAUGGCGGCUGGAAGACAUGGGGGUUAUCGCGAAAACGAGUUCAGGGAGCGAGAGUCCAGUUUCGAAUUGCCGCGGAGGGAUUUAGCUUCUGCUAAGGAGGACUUGGAGCGGAUGAGGAAUGGGAAUCGUGAUGUUCACAAGGGCCGCGUUCGGGAUUUGAGAGAUAGAAUCAGGGCUAGGUCCAAGGAGAGGGCAGUGGCUAAUGGUGGAUACCGUUCCUCUUCGAGUAGGAGUGAUUCCGGCAGCAGUGGCGGUGGUGGGCUAGUAGCCGGUCGCGGGCCUAAGCCUUGUGGGUUUUCUGCCAAGGCAUUGGAUAGGGAACCUGGUGAAUUGUCAAGUGAGAGCGGGUCUGAUGAUGCUAUUGAAUCCGGGUCGCAGGGCAGAGAUGUAGAGGUUAUGAAGGUAGUGGAGAAUGGAAGUCAGACUCCGAAGGAGAGGAAAAGGAAGUUUUCGCCUAUUGUGUGGGAUAGAGAUGAUAAAGAAGGGAGUAAUUCAUCCAAGACUAGGAUUACAACAGUGCCAACAGCUCCUCCUCCUCCUCCACCCCCACUGGCUAGGGUGUCUCGUCAGUCUCCUAAUGUUACUUCAGAUAGCAGGUUACAAAUAUCUUCAGCCAAAAUUGAUGAAACUGACAAUUUACAACCUUCCUCCCCGGUUAAGUCUCCUGUGGCACCUGAGACUGUUAGCAAUGGUGUAUAUGAGUCUCCGGUAGAGUUGUCUUCACCAGAUCAGCAUUUAGGGAAUGUUCGUGAAGCAGAGCAGCUAGAAGAAGAAGAUUAUGUUCCAACCCGAAAUAUAUCCUCUUCAAGAUGGGCAGCAGGAAAUAAUUCUCCUGGUGAUAAAGGUGGAAUUUCAGAAAACGAGGAAAUUCCUAAAAGGAGGAGGAAAAUGCCUGGUUUAGGAUCAGUGGAAAACAGAGUACGCAACAGCUCACUGACUCCGGAGCUAGGGGAGCUUAAGAAAGAUGGGUCUGAACGAGGUAGGGCGAGAUCAUCCGAGUCUGAUGAACGAGAUGCCCUUGGAAGGUCGAGUGGGGAUGACUAUCCUGAUAAUGACUCAGAGAGGGAUGACUACAUGGAUGUUGACAAGGAUAAUGGUAAUAAUGCUAGUGUUAGUCGUUAUGAUACUAGUUCAGAGGAUGAGCAUGAUUCUCCUGAGACACCAGAGCCUGCAGCUCCUCCACAAAGAAGUGUAAACAUGCUUCAGGGUUGUAGAAGUGUUGAUGAGUUCGAGAGACUAAACAAGAUAGAUGAGGGCACUUAUGGUGUUGUAUAUCGGGCCCAAGAUAAGAAAACUGGUGAAAUUGUGGCAUUGAAGAAGGUAAAGAUGGAGAAGGAAAGAGAAGGUUUUCCAUUAACUUCUCUGAGGGAAAUAAACAUUCUCCUUUCUUUUCAUCAUCCAUCAAUUGUCGAUGUUAAGGAAGUAGUGGUGGGCAGUAACCUUGAUAGCAUUUUUAUGGUGAUGGAAUACAUGGAGCAUGAUCUUAAGGCACUCAUGGAGACAAUGAAGCAGCCAUUUAGUCCGAGUGAAGUCAAAUGCCUUAUGCUCCAGCUGUUGGAAGGUGUCAAAUAUCUUCAUGAUAAUUGGGUGCUUCAUCGGGAUUUGAAGACAUCUAACCUGCUUUUGAAUAAUCGGGGUGAGUUGAAGAUCUGUGACUUUGGGUUGGCUCGUCAAUAUGGAAGUCCUUUGAAACCGUAUACUCAUUUGGUGGUUACUCUUUGGUACAGGGCGCCGGAACUUCUGUUGGGAGCAAGAGAAUAUUCAACGGCAAUCGAUAUGUGGUCACUAGGUUGUAUCAUGGCUGAGCUGUUAUCAAAGGAGCCGCUUUUUAACGGGAAAACGGAAUUUGAACAACUUGACAAAAUUUUUAAGAUACUUGGCACACCAAAUGAGACUAUUUGGCCUGGGUUUUCCAAGCUUCCUGGAGUAAAGGUCAACUUUGUUAAGCAUCAGUAUAACCUUUUGCGCAAGAAGUUCCCAGCUACUUCGUUUACUGGAUCUCCAGUUCUUACUGAAGCUGGAUUUGAUUUGUUGAAUAAGCUUCUAACUUAUGACCCUGAGAAGAGAAUUUCUGUUGAUGCUGCUCUGAAUCAUGAGUGGUUUCGCGAAGUCCCUCUUCCCAAGACAAAAGAUUUCAUGCCCACAUUUCCUGCCCAACAUGCUCAAGACAGGCGCUCACGGAGAAUGUUGAAGAGUCCAGAUCCCUUGGAAGAGCAACGGAGAAAGGAGUUGCAAGGGGGUAUAGGAACUGGGGGUGUGUUUGGCUAGGAUAAAUCAGAUCAGUGGCCUUGAUACAUUAAUGGAUUUAAUGGGCAUGGCUGAGGUGAGAGACAUGCAUUGAACGGAAGUUGCAACAUUCUAUGUCAGGACGGUCAUUUCUGCUCUUUUUUAGCAGGCAGUUACUCAUGAUUUGGCUGGGAGAUGUGUAUUUUUUUUUUUGCCUCCUGUCAACCAGAUUUGUUGCAGUUCUCUAUUGGUUUCGAAUAGCACUAUCUGUUAUACUAGACCUAUUUAAUGUUCACAUUGUGUUUGCAAGAGACGGUUGGUGUGAAGUGGAAGGGAGUGCUUUGCUUUUCCUUGACGAAGAAUAUUGACAGUUAAGCAUGUUAUUUUGAAGUAUCAAAGCAAGCAGGUUGAGGAGGUUUCCUGCACUUGCAGGAACUUAUAGAACUUCAAUUAGUUGUUCCACAGGCUCACUAGAGAAGAAUUUUAAGAAAUACGCUAAAAGGCAAAAAGAUUCCGGUCUCUGUUCCUGGACACUUCGCAUUCUUAACAUUGACAAAAUGUCAGGUGCAAAAUUGUGGCCUUUUUUAUUGCGCUACUAUUUUGUUUGUAUAAAUGGAAUGAAAUUUAUUCUAGUUAAAACUGAAGGCCUAGGUGUUUGAAUGCAAAGUGAUACUAGUGAUGCACAUAGUGGUAACUUCCGUAUAUUCGUCUUCUGCCAUUCACUCAUAACUGAGGAUCUGGAGGGCUGGACGCUACUUCUACAUUGAGUAUUGCCUCUAUGUCACUUGGGGAUAGGUAAUUAGGAGAGUUAAGAAUUUGCCUUGAAAAUUGUUAGAAUUGGGUUGAUUAGUUCCACUUUCAUCGCAUAAUUAAAACCACAUAGAGUAAUCCUUAUAUUACAGCUGUCAAAUAUAUGGAAUUGUCUAAAGGGGCAUUUCUGUCAACUUCAGUGCCCUUUGAUAUUGAACUAGCAAACUCCUCUUGAGGCAUGGAGGGGAAGGGUAUUUUGAAUGACUCCAUAGUGUGUGUUUCUGAACUUUGUUCAGUUGGAACUUAAACUUCGUUUUUUGACAGUGUGCAGUUUUACCAAUAAGGAUUUAUGUUAAUUGAAAACUGAUCAGUGGAAAAGUUGGGAUUUUGAUUGUUAAUGUGGUCAAGUAUAGAGAUGACGGUUCAUUGUGGUUUAUAACAUAUAUACUAUGGUUUUUUGAGUUGUGUCUAUUUGAUGUUACGAUAUGGUGGCAAUUUUAAUGACACUUUUAGAACUAUUGUACGAACCUUAUUAGGAAGUUAUAGAGACGGGAAAGAUAAUUGUAGGGUAUAAUAGUGUGGUUUCUUUUAUUUCAACAUUUCUGAGCCUUUUUUUGUUUUUUGUUUUUUCAUGAUAAUUGAUGUUACACUAGUGUGGUCUUGUUUGGCUUAACUUGUCCGUUGGCAUUUGUCUGUAUGUUUUAUUGUUUUAAGAUAGGAAGAACAGAAGUGUUUAAGCUGUUCAGUCCUUGCUGCCAGUUUUAGUCAAUUGAGUCGAAAUAAUGGUGGAGGCAGCUGACAGCCCGACACAAUGGACUUUGUUCCCUCCCCCUGUUUGGUUCUUUUGAUUGUCUAUUUUUCAAAGCUACAACUUAUGUUUACCUUAUUACUACUGUUUUGGUUCAAGUAAUUUGUGACGUUGUAGCUCAUAAAUCCUGGAAUAUAUGUUUCUCAUU